CCCUGGCAAGCCGGAAGAUUUUCUCCCGCGUCCCCGUCAGCCUGGCCUGGGGUGGGCCUCUGCUCCCCUACUUUUCGCCAGAUGCAAGCCUUUAAGUCAGCCUGCUCCUGGGAGGGGGCGUGGUGCGGUCAGGGAAUGGGGGCAGUGACGUCUGGCGGCACUGGGUGUGAGGGGGCUGCCCCAGUGAGGUGGUCAUUUUGCUCCCAUCUCCUUGAAGGCCUGGCCUAGGGGCGGCCUCAGCUGCCCCAAGUUCACCGAAGGCACACCUCUAGGUCAGUUGGCUCCAGGGAGGCGGGCACAGUGAGGUCAGGGGCUGGGGGGGGCUGCCCAGGUAAGCCUGUGGAUUUUCUCCCAUGUCCCACUGGGCCUGGCCUGGGGGCGGCCUCUGCUGCCCCAGGUUGGCGGGAUGCACCUCCCAGGUCCCCAGCUUCUGGGGGGCCUGAGCGGUGUGGUCGGGGAUGUGGGAGGGGAGACAGUGUCAGCAGGGCAAGGACUCACUGAGGACUGGGAUCUAGUCCAGGAUAGUCAAUUCUCCUUCUCUCGUCUUCCUUCUCCCCCAGGUGGUGGCAGUACCGCCGGCGUCAGAGGCCAAUUCCCUCCCCAACGGCAGCCCGCCCCUGCGCUAGAGGGGAGCAUAGAAGCCGGAGCCCAGGGCCCACUCGCCCACUCUCUUCGCUCGAGUGGAACUGGACCUGGAGAUCAAGCCCCAGUGCCAGGAGUGCACCUGUACCUAGUCACUGUGAGGCCAGAUCUCCAGGGGAGCCCGGCCAAGCCCUUGGGGAGGUUGCCGCUGACCCCCUGAUCCUGGACGAGUAGGACCAGGAGGACGGUGGCGGUUGGGAAGGCUGGGCCAUGGCGAUCCACGGUGGCAGGGCUGGAGCGCUGGGCUCUGGGUUGCUUUUUGAGGACUUGGCCUGGCCAGGUUGCUGGCUCCAGGAGGGGAGGACCCCAGGCCCGGACCAGCCGCUGCAGCAGGUGCACUGAGCAUGGGGGACACAGACGACUCAUUCCAGCAAGAAAAUGUUGGGUAGCUGGUUUUUUCCUGUAGGAUCACCUGGCGCUCUCGGCCCUCUAAGCAGGAGUUGGAGUUGCUGCGGAUCACUGCAUGCUCCUAGAUAUUCCUGUGUUUCGGAACUUUAUGGGGCUAUAAGAAAUUGGCUGAGAAUAAAGAAGCUGAAUUUGUUAACCCUUUACCCCUUAAGAUGAAUCCAAAUGUUAUGAUGUUAUGUAUCAAGAAACA